GUAUAUAUGUAUGUACAAUCUGUCUUUUGUACAAUCAAUUCAUAUGACAAGCAUAAACAAUUUUCUAUUUGAAAUUUUGAACUUCGUUUCUUAUAUGGCAAACCAACCUUACACGAUGUUUUUAAACGAAAAGUUUAAAGUUAUUUUCACUGUACUAUAAGAAUUUUCAAUUUUUACAAAAAUGGUAGGUAAUUAAAAUAUGUUAAAAUGCAAUCACAAAAGUAUCUUCAGUUAACUUUGGCAAUAAUUAAACCACAUAUUGUUAAAUCUCCUUUUGUGCUUCAGAAAAUUCGAGAUUUAAUAAUUGACAAUAAUUUAAAAAUUGUCAGAUCACGCAGGACGAUAAUUACACAGAAAGAGGCAGAAUUAUUUUAUGAAGAACAUAAAGAAAAAUUUUUUUACAAUCGUCUUUUAACAUUUAUGUGUAGUGGUCCAUCAGAUAUUCAUAUUUUAGCAGAUCAUAAUGCUAUUGCUAAAUGGAGAAAUUUAAUGGGUCCUACAAAAGUAUACGAGGCACAAUACAUUGCCCCUAAUACAAUUCGAGGAAUGUUUGGUUUAUCAGAUACAAGAAAUGCCACACAUGGUUCUGAUUCGGUGAAAUCUGCUGAGAGAGAAAUAAGAAUAUUCUUUAAGAACUUUGAUUUACAAAAAUGGUAUGAAUAUGAGGAAAAAUAUUAUAAUUUAGGUCAAGUUCACUUUGACCCAAUAGCAUUUUUACAUACUAUUGAUCAAAAAUUUAUGAACAGUAAUAAAGGACAAAUUAUAAAGUGAUACAAAUUUGGAAUUUUUUAUACCAUUUUUGUUAUGUACAUUUUUUUCAAGAACUUGGACAUCUCCUUGAUCUAAAGGAUACCUAUGGAACAAAUUAUUAUUAUAUAACAAAUAAUUAAAUAUAAAAUAUUUUGAAAGAAACUACAAGAAUAUAAUCUACAAUAAGUUACAAAGUUUCAUUUUAUACCUUUUAUUACAAAGUUAUAAGCAA